UCCUGGGAAAGCAGAGAAAAUUUGAACCUGCACAGUCUGGACCCUCUGGCCUCACUUUCCUCAGCACCAGCCCACACCCACCAGAAAGGCCUUGGGCCCUCAGACAAGCAAAGAAGCAAGAAGAGAGAAUCCAGCUCUGCUGUGGAGAUGCUAGGGGAGGCAGAUGCCUUCUCCCUCCGUGUCCACGAGGCUAUGGGAAUGAUAAACAGGACUGGCCCAGAAAAGAUCGCCGAGUCUGCAGUUGUGAAGACAUGGAUUCAAACCCAGAUUCUAUACACCCUGUAGCCCUAAUUAUAUCACUUGAUCUCUCUGGGUCUCAGUUUCUCCCUCUAUAAAAUGGGAACAACACGCCUACUUGUUGGGGUUUGCUGGGAGGGCAGAAUGAGUGAAAAGCAUCAGACAACAAAUAGAGGUUCAACAUGGGGGCCUCCCUCCUGGCUUCCCGCAGGCACAUGCUUGUGCUAGAAAGUGUUUACACGUUCACACAGAUGCCCUAGAUACACACAGGUGUAGCUGUAGAAUCUCUGAUUCAGAGGACAGCCCCUCACCAAGGGAAGGGCCUGAAUGGGUGGGGAUUAAAGUCUCCAAAGAAAGUACAAGGCACUGAGGAAAGAGAAGGGCCUGCCUUUGAGCUACUCCCCAGGAUCCCAGCAGGAAUCUCUUAGAGGCCUUACUAUUUGAGGCCCCCCUCCUGGCAAGGACAGCAGGGUUCUGCUUUCCUGAAAUACAGCAAGGCCAGCAGCACAUGGAGGCAGCACAGCAGAGAGGGGCAGGCAGCUCACCUGGUAAUAGUGGAAGAUGGAAUCGGCCAUCGGGUCCUUCCCGGGCACCGUGGUGGUCCACAGCUUCUUCAUGAAGAACACCUGGUAGGUGAGCGAGGGCACGAUUCCUGUGGCAGAGGGCAAUCAGUCACCCAGAGCGUCCCAGCACAGAGGAUCACCCGUGCCCAGCACCAGCCCCGGAGCAGGCCCUAGCUCGGGUCCCACCCAGGUGGACCUCGCGGUGUGGCCCUGUGCCGGCACCUGCUCUGCUCUGGGCCUCAGAUGAUCUCAGGGCCCAGCCUCACAUUACCAUCCUUGACAGGCCGUGCUUUCUUUAUCCAGUCUGUCAGGUGUCGAACAAAGUCGAAGAAGAAGUCAUUCUCGGGGACGCUGAUGACCUAGGGACAUGGCCGUUCCAAUCCAUUCAUUUUAGUUCCACCAAUACUGAUUUUUCUGACUUUCCCACCCAAUGCCUUCCUUUUGGCCCUUUGUUGCAACCCGAAGAGGUGUCCCACUCUGCCCUGACUAUGCCUGUUGAGUCUCCAGAACAAAGCCUACUUCCCACCCAGAGUGACAGUCAUUCCAGCCGUUCAGCAAAGACUAAGCCCUGGUGAGAAGGCCAAGAAUGAGGCCCAGUCCCUGCCUUGGACAAUCUCCAGUAUCUGUGACCUGCUCUUCGCACAGGCUCCAAGCUCCUCUGGGUCGAGGACCUUACUGAGAUCACCUGUGGGUCCCCAGUGUCUGGCACAGGGACAGUUGUGAAAUGAGGAGGCAGACGUGGAUGCACAAGGAACUGAGUGAGCACCUGAUCUACCUGACAUGGUCAAGGAAGCCUUCCCACAGGAAGAGGCUUUAAAGCUGGGCCCUUGACCUUCAAGAACACAGAAGUGAGGAAGAGCAAGGUGGAAUGGUGGCAGGGGCCUGUGCUUUGGAGUCAGACCUACUGGGAUCUGAGUCCUUGCUGUGUGGCUUUGAAUAAGUUACUUAAAUUUU